AUGACCCUCUCCAGGCUGACGGCUGAGAGAGAGACAAUGACAACAGUGCCACUGAGGGUCAUCGCAUAGAAGAGCAUGUGGCAGAUGACAUCGCCCAGCACCCAGGUCUCGGUCCAGCGCACGAUGCCAAUGAACGGGAUGGCGGAGAUGAAGAGCAGGUCGGCACAGAAGAGGUUGAGGACGAGGUAAUUGGCAGCACACAGCCGUUGCUGCCGCCACACCAGCAGGCAGAUGCCCCAGAUGUUGCCCACUAAGGCCAGCAGGAAGACGGAGCCCAGCGCAACCGACUCGCCGACACGCAGGGCCGUCACGUUGCCACCCCUGAAGUCUGAGAAGAAUGGGAAGAGUUCAAGGGAAACCUAGGAGAGAAAUCCAGAGAGCUACAAACAUAUGGGAACUGUGUCUGGCUCUUAAAGCCUGAGAUUUUCAGGUCUCAGAGAUGAGAUACAUCACCUAUCCUUAUACUCAACAUCCACUUGAUGCUGUUUGCCAGAGAUACUAUCAGCUGCAGUAUGAAACUGAUAAUUUGAUGUGAAAAGGAAGCCAACUCCUUCUGGCUCUUCUGUUCAAAAUUAAUUUUAUCCUACAAGCUGGUCAAGCAUGACUCAAGUCAAUCUGAAUACAUGCUACAGAGAAGGUGCUUAAUGAGGAACUCCACAACAUGGAAGUAAGCUAGAGGUAACCAGACCCAUUAUUGCAAAACAUUUUGGACAAGUGUCAAAACCUAUCACAGAUGCCAAAUGUUCUUUAUUCAUCUGAACAGAUCAUGUCAGGCUUGAGUCAUUUUUAUAAUAUUUAUUUUGAAAGAAACAGACUGAUACACACCUAGCCAGUAAAUUCUUAAUGCUUUCUUUAUGGAGGCUGUGUACUUUGAAGGAUGGGAGAUAUGCAUAUAUUUACCUCAACACUUUUAGCAAGCAGAAAGGUGGCCAAUAAACUGUCAAAGCUUUUACAAAAAAAUGUUUAGUGAAGUAAAUAGGAAAAAGAGGAAAUGAUCAGGUAACACAACUAAAAAACAGGAAACAAAGAAAUUCAGAAGUUUCACAAAUAAAGCAAAAUAUUAUGAAGAAAGUCAAUGA